UCGCCCUACGGGACGCAGCAGUGGGGAAUAUUGCACAAUGGGCGCAAGCCUGAUGCAGCAACGCCGCGUGAGCGAAGAAGGUCUUCGGAUCGUAAAGCUCUGUCCUUGAGGAAGAAGGAAGUGACGGUACUCAAGGAGGAAGCCCCGGCUAACUACGUGCCAGCAGCCGCGGUAAUACGUAGGGGGCAAGCGUUAUCCGGAAUUAUUGGGCGUAAAGAGUACGUAGGUGGUUUUGUAAGCGCGGGGUGAAGGCAAGUGGCUUAACCAUUGUAAGCUUUGCGA
rnacentral:rRNA from 1 species